UCCGGUUUGUCACCGGCAGUCACAUUAGAGUGCCCAACUUAAUGCUGGCAACUAAUAUUAGGGGUUGCGCUCGUUACGGGACUUAACCCAACAUCUCACGACACGAGCUGACGACAACCAUGCACCACCUGUCACCUUUGUCCCCGAAGGGAAAUUCCUAUCUCUAGGAAGGUCAAAGGGAUGUCAAGACCUGGUAAGGUUCUUCGCGUAGCUUCGAAUUAAACCACAUGCUCCACCGCUUGUGCGGGCCCCCGUCAAUUCUUUUGAGUUUCAGCCUUGCGGCCGUACUCCCCAGGCGGAGUGCUUAAUGCGUUAACUGCAGCACUAAGGGGCGGAAACCCCUUAACACCUAGCACUCAUCGUUUACGGCGUGGACUAC
rnacentral:misc_RNA from 1 species